CCUACGGGUGGCAGCAGUGGGGAAUAUUGGACAAUGGGGGAAACCCUGAUCCAGCGACGCCGCGUGAGUGAAGAAGUAUUUCGGUACGUAAAGCUCUAUCAGCAGGAAAGAAAAUGACGGUACCUGACUAAGAAGCCCCGGCUAACUACGUGCCAGCAGCCGCGGUAAUACGUAGGGGGCAAGCGUUAUCCGGGUUUAUUGGGUUUAAAGGGUGCGCAGGGGGUAUGUAAAGUCAGCGGUCAAACGCCGGGGCUCAAACCCGGCCCGCCGUUGAAACUGGCAGUCUCGAGUUGGAGAGAGGUAUGCGGAAUGCGCGGUGUAGCGGUGAAAUGAAUAGAUAGCGCGCAGAACUCCGAUUGCGAAGGCAGCAUGCCGGCUCCACACUGACGCUGAGGCACGAAAGCGUGGGUAUCGAACAGGAUUAGAUACCCGAGUAGUC
rnacentral:rRNA from 1 species